rnacentral:rRNA from 1 species
GUUUGAUCAUGGCUCAGAUAGAACGCUGGCGGCAGGCCUAACACAUGCAAGUCGAGCGGCAGCACGGGAGCUUGCUCCUGGUGGCGAGCGGCGGACGGGUGAGUAACACGUGGGAAUCUACCUAUUGGUGGGGGAUAACUUGGGGAAACUCAAGGUAAUACCGCAUUAUCCCUACGGGGGAAAGCAGGGGACCUUCGGGCCUUGCGCCGAUAGAUGAGCCCGCGUCGGAUUAGCUAGUUGGUAGGGUAAAGGCCUACCAAGGCGACGAUCCGUAGCUGGUCUGAGAGGAUGAUCAGCCACACUGGGACUGAGACACGGCCCAGACUCCUACGGGAGGCAGCAGUGGGGAAUAUUGGACAAUGGGGGAAACCCUGAUCCAGCCAUGCCGCGUGUGUGAAGAAGGCCUUAGGGUUGUAAAGCACUUUCAGUGGGGAGGAAGGCUUCUGGCUAAUAAUCAGGAGUACUUGACGUUACCCACAGAAGAAGCACCGGCUAAUUUCGUGCCAGCAGCCGCGGUAAUACGAAAGGUGCGAGCGUUAAUCGGAAUUACUGGGCGUAAAGCGCGCGUAGGCGGUUUGUUAAGUCUGAUGUGAAAUCCCCGGGCUCAACCUGGGAAUUGCAUCGGAUACUGGCAAGCUAGAAUGCGGUAGAGGGGGUGGAAUUCCAGGUGUAGCGGUGAAAUGCGUAGAGAUCUGGAGGAACACCAGUGGCGAAGGCGGCCCCCUGGACUGACAUUGACGCUGAGGUGCGAAAGCGUGGGGAU